rnacentral:rRNA from 7 species
AUAACGACUCUCGGCAACGGAUAUCUCGGCUCUCGCAUCGAUGAAGAACGUAGCGAAAUGCGAUACUUGGUGUGAAUUGCAGAAUCCCGUGAACCAUCGAGUCUUUGAACGCAAGUUGCGCCCGAAGCCAUUAGGUCGAGGGCACGCCUGCCUGGGCGUCUCGCA